CCUACGGGUGGCAGCAGUGGGGAAUAUUGCACAAUGGGGGAAACCCUGAUGCAGCGACGCCGCGUGAGUGAAGAAGUACUUCGGUACGUAAAGCUCUAUUAGCAGGGAAGAAAAUGACGGUACGUGACUAAGAAGCCCCGGCCAAAUACGUGCCAGAAGCCGCGGGAAAACGCAGGGGGCAAGCGUUAUCCGGAGUUGCUGGGUGUAAAGGGAGCGUAGACGGUAGGGCAAGUCUGGAGGGAAAACCCAUGGUUUAAUCAUGGACCUGCUUUGGAAACUGGGCAGCUGGAGUGCAGGAGAGGUAAGCGGAAUUCCUAGUGUAGCGGUGAAAUGCGUAGAUAUUAGGAGGAACACCAGUGGCGAAGGCAGCUUACUGGGCUGUAACUGACGUUGAGGCUCGAAAGCGUGGGGAGCAAACAGGAUUAGAUACCCGUGUAGUC
rnacentral:rRNA from 1 species